rnacentral:sRNA from 1 species
GCAGGUGAAUGCAACGUCAAGCGAUGGGCGUUGCGCUCCAUAUUGUCUUACUUCCUUUUUUAGAAUUACUGCAUAGCACAUAUUAAUUCGAUACGCCGGCCUUAUCCGCCGGCUUUU